rnacentral:rRNA from 1 species
GGGAUAUUGCACAAUGGGGGAAACCCUGCUGCCGCGACGCCGCGUGAGUGAAGAAGUAUUUCGGUAUGUAAAGCCCUAUCAGCAGGGACGAAAAUGACGGUACCUGAGGAAGAAGCCCCGGCUAACUACGUGCCAGCAGCCGCGGUAAUACGUAGGGGGCAAGCGUUAUCCGGAUUUACUGGGUGUAAAGGGAGCGUAGACGGUUAUGCAAGUCUGGAGUGAAAGGCGGGGGCUCAACCCCCGGACUGCUCUGGAAACUGUAGAACUAGAGUGCAGAAGGGGUAAGUGGAAUUCCUAGUGUAGCGGUGAAAUGCGUAGAUAUUAGGAGGAACACCAGUGGCGAAGGCGGCUUACUGGACUGUAACUGACGUUGAGGCUCGAAAGCGUGGGAAGCAAACA